UUAAUAUAUUUUAACGUAUAUUAUUUAUAUUUAAAUAGAAUUUAUGAAUUUUAAGUAAUGAAUAUAUAAUUAACGUAUAUUCAUUUUAUUUUAAGUAUGUUCUAAAUAUUUAACGAUUUUUGAACUUUAUUAUAUUUAUAUAUUUAAUGUAUAUUUAAAUUCUUUUAAAUAUAUUCCAAAUAUUUUAACGGUUUGCGCAAUCAAGAAUUAUUUUAGAAUUUUAUGUUGAAAAUAAUUUGAAUUAGGAAAACUCGUUGAAUAUGAAAAAAAAACAAUUCUAUUCGGUUUUGACUCAAACACUAAAAUCCAAAUCUUAAUCCUAGCCCACAUGGGAAAAGCCCAAAAUAAAAAAAAUAAAAAAAAAACAAAAAAAAACCCAUACCCCUCUUUUCUAAUUCACGUGAAACCAAACCUCACCCAAAAACCCCUUCCUUCCUCUCUUUCACGUAAAAAGGAAAACAAAACCCUCUCAAGCCUUCUUGUUGCUACUGUUCAGCCGCCACCCUGAACCCUCGCCGGCGACCACCGCCGUCCGCCCGCGCCGCCAGUAAGCCAACCCCUCCUCAUCUCCUCCGUCGUCUCUUCCUCCCUCUCUGUUUUCGUCCUUCCUCUCAGCCCUUCGUUUUUGCGCAGCAACACCGCAAGCCACGCCCUGUCACCGCCAGCAACCGCUCCAGCCUCAGCCGCCGGCCGCCGCCACUACAAGCCGGACCACCGCCGUCGCCGCUCACGUUCUCCGCGAGUCUCACCACCACCCAGCAUCACGACGACAGCCGUCGCACUGCCGCCCAGUCGAUCCGCUCCGUCGCGCUGCCCUACCCGCCGGCCAGCACCUCCCCUCUCCUCCUUUUGGCGGAGAAUUCUUUGUAGGCGAUUUUUGAAUUCGUUAAAGUGGCCUAUCGGUUUGUUUAC